rnacentral:misc_RNA from 1 species
AUCCAUGGUUGACCAAGUUUAUCAUGGCUGGCUGAAGGAGGAACAUAAUGUGAAAACUUAUAAGAAUACUCGUCUCAGUCUUCCCCUACGGUCGUGUAGGAGGGAGUGAUGGGGUCCCAGAGUGUGGAAAUACUGCGCCAGGGUAUAUGGGCGUCACUUACAGGAGGUUGGUUCUACGACCCUCACCAGGAUGUCUUCUGCAACACCUUCCACCUCUAUCUGUGGCUCUACCUCGUCUGUGUUCCCUUCUCCAUCUACCUGUACUGUGGAUGGUCAGUGGCAUGGUGGCUGGCCCAUCUGGUGGUGUUGUCACUGGUGGUGGUGGGCAUCAAGGUGAUGAACCACUUGCUCCACCACAUGUUUGACACAACUGACUGUCUGGAGGAGGAACUCACACCCGCCGUGCCCACCGCCGCCAACGAUGAUGUCACUACACCCGUCCACUACCCCAACUCAACCGCACCAGCCCAGCAGAUGAGCCAGUCAUUCGAGGCCAUAGAGAUGCAGGUUGUGAACAGUAAGGGAGGCGGUGAGAGUGAGACCCCUCCUGUGGGGUGCAGCUCCCGCAACUCUAUCAUGGAGGUCCCCGGCACACACUCCUCCGCCCAGCCCCAGCCCCCAGCGACCAUAGACUUAAAGGCAGAUGUACACCACAAGGACAGCUCAGGGAGUGAGGAGGGAGCCAAGUGUGAGGCAGCAGCACUGACCCCCUCGUCCAAGGACCCUCACAACACCACUACACGAGACAAGAGGUCGAGAGACUGUGGCAAUAGUGGCGGACCAUCCAGCAGCGGUCGGGGACUCUGUGUCUCGGAGGGAACGCUGGCCAGUGUCUCGGAGAUCACAGAGUCCCUCAAUCACCCCAUUAUUGCCAAGCACUCCCAGUCUCUUGGUUGGUGCGGUGGAGAAGAAGGCGCUGCACCACACACCAACAACAACAACAGCAGCGGUGGCAGCGCACACAGCAGCCGCGGUCACAAGCGCUUGAGAAGGAAUGCCACAUCUGCUGGCUCCAUGACCACCACCUCCCUCUGUGAUGCUCAUUCUGUAGACAUUGUUUAUUCCAAAAGUGCCAAAGGAGAGAAGGCUGGCAGCGUCCACUAUCGUACUGGCAUCCACCAUGGCAGUACAUCUCUGGGGCUGGAGGGGGGGUCAGGCGCGGGCGCUGCCUCCUCCACUGCACCAUCACCAUCAUCUCUUCCCUCAGCUGCUGAGCCUCCAUCACACCCAGUCAGCCUUGAGGUGAUCAUAGGCGACGAGGGCAACAGACGACAGCAGCACCACCACCACCGUCAUCACCACAGCAGGCACCACCACCACCGCUACCACCAGCACCAUCCCCACCACCAUAACAGGAAGAUGUCUCUGGUACCUUCGGCAUGUGGGCGGGAGCCAAGCAACAUAUCGGUCAUAGAGGAGAGGAACAACAGUUGUGAUGCCAACAGUGGUAGCUGCUGUAGUGUUAACAGUGAGGGAGAAACAGAUGAGGAGGGCCCCAACAAAGGCUCCCACUCACCUUUGUUGACGCGCCAUCAGAGUCUGGAGGGGAAGAGCUCCUCCGGGUCGCGCAGAGUUCGCUGCGGCAACACGAGGCUGGCACCCACCCCUCGGAACUCCGGUCGUGCGUACCAGCCUCUGGUGUUUCGUAGCAGCUCUGCCAUCGCAAAGUUUCGCGAUAAGACGAAGAUGGAAGGGGACAACUAUAAGGUGUGCACGCUGACGUUUGAGAAUAUAUACGCGGACGAUGAGAGUAGCUCAGACACGUUGAGUGUGGUCAAACUGUCCAGCAGCUCCGACGAAACACUAAGUAGCGUAGCAGAUCAGUUAAGUCUACAUAGACAGUCUUUAGGUAAUCUCGACUGUGAUAACGUUAACUCUAAGUGCAGCGGGAACGGCAACUGUGACGAACCCGCGGGGGGAGGCAGGAAGGAGGACCACAACCACCUCCACCACAGAAGCAGAGAGGAGGUUGUGGUGGACUUGGACGAUGCUCCCCUAACCAUUCCACAAUAUGCUGGAGAAAAUGCCUCAGUAGUGAGUGAUGAACACAGGACACACAGUGUAAGAAACUCGCAGGAACUGCUCGUUGUGAACGAUAACGUAGAGAGUAGGUCGUCUAGUCCAGGUUUAGACUGGCUCUUCUCGCACAGUGACUCGGACUCGGAGUUUGCCGACGUUGCCCGCGACCCGAGUGACCAGAGGAGACGCUCUUCCCAGCAGAGCGACGAGGAUAGUUGGAAUAUAAUUAGGUCUUCGCCGGAGAGCCCCGCUGAGGCUUGUGCCGUCUCGUAUCCGCACCCCGUCAACCACUGUGGUCCGGCUUGUCAGGGGGCCAUUCCUAAGAAACGGAGGCAGGGCGUAGUGGUGGAGGAAGUGGAGUCAAACGGAGGGGGCGAGAGGGGCAACAGAGAAGCGUCUGUUACCAUGGAGGACCUGGUGAGACGACUCUUGGAUAUCCUAAACAGUUCUCUCCACGAUCCUCAACAAUGCCAUCGGGAUAUUCAGAAGCUCGUAGUGUUAAAACGGAGGUUGGAACAAGAGGGGGGCAUCGGCGAAGCCAUCAGAAGCGGCCAGGGAUCGCUGACGAGUCCGGGGACCUCGGAGAACUCGACCCAGAGCAACAAAUCCGUCGAGAAGCCGGUGGAAACACAUCUGUACAGGAAACCAGCGGUGCGACGGAGAAGACACGUGGCGGGGAGUGCGACAUCCCCGCCCACCUCCCCCAGCGAUCCCCCUGAUAUAUCUUCCUUACUCACUACCACCCUCACCACCUCACUCACCACCACCUUCACCACCUCCCUCACCACCACCUUCACCACCUCCCUCACCACCACUCUCUCACCAGCAUAUCAAGAUACCCACAGAAAUCAUCCAUCACAGAGACCAAGUCCGUUUCCUGCAUUGACCAGAAGUGGAGGAGAUAGUGAUGACGAUAAUAAGCCUCACAGAACUAUGGUGGAAAAGAAAACAGGAGGUGGUGGAGGCACGUCUCUAUUUUCCGGUAACUCGUCACUGUCUGACGGAGGUCCUCCCCUGUCUGCACUAUCCUCACUCUCCUCCCCAGGGACCCACCUCGCCGUGUCUCACGAGGACACCAGUGACGGAGCUGUCCACUGUUUUCAAGACGAGAGAGGAAAUUGGUUUACGUACACGUUUAACGACAGAGGCGUGAGCACGGCCUCUAGCGUUAUGCCUGUGAGCGACAACAGAGUUUUGACCAAACUUUUGCGGCGUACCAGCAACAACCUCCAGGGACCUAGUCAGAGCAGUAGCAGCCAGAAUGCCUCCGGGGGUCUGACGCGCGGCGAUGGUUCACUCAGCAGCUCCUCCAUGUCUCUCUGCUCGGGGCUCACUGUCAUACUGGACAACCACUUCCCGCCUGCCUCCUUGCCGUCUGCCUGGCCAGAGAUCUGUAAGGCUAAUCCCAACCUGUCGUCGUCAAACGUCGAUCCGGCCAGUAGUGCGGCGGUGGUACCGGCUUCGUCGGCCGUACGCAGAAGGUGUUCUUCGCCCCCUGUCUCCACGACCGUCGUCAACAUGAGAGAUCAGGACAGAAAUAAUCAGGAUGGCACGAGCGACCCCGACCCCAUACCCAGGGUGACGGCCGGUCCCAGAGGGGGCCGGGACCUGCCCCUGCUGUCUUCUGAAACCCGUCAUCACUUACAGCUGUUGAGUAUAGGGGCCCCUCAUAACCCUCUACAGCUGUUCACAAACGCACUGUUCGAGCGGAGACGCUCCAGCAACCGUCCGGUCACCGCCGCAGGUUCCAUCAUUACCUCCGAGGCCUUCGAGAACAUUAGUCUCCCUCACGGGCUCGACGUGGAUGUAGACCUGGGGCUGUCCUCCAACAAACUCAAGUUCCCCGUCUCAGCUCCUCACACUAUACAAUAUUAUAAGUUUAGAAUUUGUGGGAACAGAUCUGUAAAAAUAAAGUUUGAUAGACUCUUUUUGUUAGCAUUACUAGACAGAAAUGUUACAUUUUUAGAAAAUUUUAUCUGUAUUUUUCUUGCCAUUUUCGUAAGCAUUUUAGGGUGUAUAAUUCUGCACAAAGAGUUCUAUCAGGAAUUAAACGUGUUUAUAUUUUGUCUCGUGAUGGCGAGUUGUCAGUAUUCCUUAUUCAAGAGCGUACAGCCCGACGCGGCUUCUCCCACGCACGGGUACAACCGCGUCGUGCUCUACAGCCGACCAGUAUACUUCAUCAUCUGCUGCAGCAUGAUACUCCUCAUACAGCUGUACUUAGACAGUAGCCACGCCUGGCGCAAGUUCAUCCUCUACGGCAUCGACUUUACCGACAGAGUAAUGUUAGAACAGUGUAAAGACCUGCUACUGCUCUUUAUACUCUUCUUCCCUCUCAUCUUCAGUUUGGGGCUCUUACCUCAAGUCAACACCUUCCUCAUGUACCUUCUAGAACAGACCGACAUCCACAUAUUCGGGGGUAACGCGACCACCAGCCUCACCUCGGCUCUGUACUGCGUCGGUCGUUCCAUCCUCACGGUUCUCUUCCUGUUUGGUUUUGCGUACGGCGGACUGAGGGAGCCGGAGGCCCAGACCCAGCACAUCCUCUACUCUAUAUUCUGCGGUCUUACGGUGGCCUUCAGCUACCACCUGAGUCGCUCGGCCUCGGACCCCACCACCCUGUGGCGCCUCAUCCAGCAACACAUGUGGCCCGAGGAGCUCCGGCGGGAGACCAGGGCCGGCAACCCUCGGCCGCCGCAGGAAGCGGACGAGCUAACCGACCCGCUGCCGGAGAAGUUGCGCAACACCGUUCAUUCUUGUUUGGUACACGAUGCCAUCAUGUGCACCGUGGUGGCGGUGGCGAUCUUUGCCGUGCACUCCAGUACUGUGUUCACCGUGCUCUUAGACGGCGAGAGCCCGGAUCUUUUCACUGCACUCUGGAUAUUUGCCAGUCUGUUUGGCUUUUUCAAUCACUAUAUAAUACCACAGUUGAGAAAGCAGUUACCGUGGCUGUGCGUGGCUCACCCUGUGUGCAGAACUCACGAGUACAGUCAGUUUGAAGUGUACGACGCUGCCAAAAUUAUGUGGUUUGAAAAAGUGUAUGUGUGGUUGUGUAUCUUAGAAAAAAAUAUUGUAUAUCCUGUACUUUUUCUCUGUGCCUUAACCAAAGAUGCACCAAUGUUGGUAGAAAGGUUCGGUCUCAACCCAGGGACACUGAUCACGGUGAUAUGUGGCGUCAAGUGUCUGCGUAGUGUAUAUUCUCAGCCACAGUUCCAAUACCUCAUACUGGCAUUUGCCAAGCUCUUCUUCAACUGGGAUUUUAAGGGGAAAUCCGAGACAUUUUUAGUCGACUACUUUAUCAUGGGAAUAAUUUUUACCCGUGUUUACGAAUUCCUCCUCAAGAUGAAAUUCAUAGUGACGUACAUAGCCCCCUGGCAGAUCACCUGGGGUUCGGCCUUCCACGCGUUCGCCCAGCCGUUCAGCGUGCCCCACUCGGCCAUGUUGUUCGUACAAGCCGCCGUCUCGGCCAUCCUGUCCACCCCACUCAACCCAAUCCUGGGCUCGGCCAUCUUCAUCACCUCCUACAUCCGCCCGAUAAAAUUCUGGGAGCGUGACUACAACACCAAGCGGGUCGACCACUCCAACACCCGGCUGUCGUCUCACCUAGAGCGUAACCCCGGCUCCGACGACAACAACCUCAACUCCAUCUUCUACGAGCACCUGACCCGCUCCCUCCAACACUCACUCUGUGGAGACCUGCAGAUGGGACGGUGGGGAGCUGCCAGCCAGGGAGAUUGCUUUGUGUUAGCGUCCGAUUACCUCAACUGUCUGGUCCACAUCAUCGAGCUCGGCAACGGUCUCGUAACAUUCCAAAUGCGAGGACUAGAGUUCCGUGGUACUUACUGUCAGCAGAGGGAAGUGGAGGCCAUAUCUGAGGGUGUGGAGGAAGAUGCUGGAUGUUGUUGCUGUGAGCCGGGCCACCUCCCCCACUUACUAAGUGCCAACGCGGCGUUCAACCAACGAUGGCUGGCCUGGGAAGUGACAGCCACCAAGUACGUCCUGGAGGGUUACUCCAUCUCCGAUAACUCCGCCGCCUCCAUGUUACAAAUAUUUGAACUCCGCAAGAUUCUCAUUACAUAUUAUGUCAAGAGCAUCAUUUUUUAUGUGGUGCGCUCGGUCAAGCUCAAGGAGUGGCUGGAGAAGGCCGAGAUAGACGCUUCUCUCUCACACACCCGAGAUAAAAAGUUUGUGGACCUCGACCCCAUCUUUAAUCUGAACAUAGACGAGGACUACGAUUUCAAGGAGUCGGGCAUUACCAGAACGAGUUUCUGCAACGUCUACCACGAGUGGAUUGUUUACUGCGUGACGAGGAGGGACCGCAACGAUCAGGAACAGAUAGAGAGUAGUCGAGAGUCACAACUCAUCUCCCUCUGUCUGGCUCUCAGUCUCUUAGGUAGACGUGCUCUGGGUGCUGCCUCGCACAAUGCCAUGUCCAGUGUCGACUUCUUCCUUCACGGUCUACACGCACUCUUUAAGGGUGACUUCCGCAUUACCUCCAUGAGGGACGAGUGGGUGUUCUCAGACAUGGAGCUGCUGAGGAAGGUGGUCGCCCCUGGAGUCAGGAUGAGCCUCAAGCUCCAUCAGGACCAUUUUAUGCUCCCUGAUGAAUAUGACAACCAUGAAUCACUGUAUAAUGCCAUCCUGGAGCACGAAGCCCACCUAGUCAUAUCCCAUGAGGGCGACCCAACCUGGCGCAACGCCGUCCUCUCCGGCAAACCUUCUCUCCUGGCCCUAAGACACGUAAUGGACGACGGUGCCGACGAAUACAAAAUCAUCAUGCUCAACAAGAGGCACCUGUCCUUCCGCGUCAUCAAGGUGAACCGAGAGUGUGUCCGGGGUCUAUGGGCCGGCCAGCAGCAGGAAUUGGUGUAUCUCCGUAAUCGCAAUCCAGAACGGGGCUCCAUCCAGAAUGCCAAACAAGCUCUCCGUAACAUCAUAAACUCUUCGUGCGAUCAGCCCAUCGGCUACCCGAUAUACGUGUCUCCGCUCACGACGUCUUACGCCGACACCAACGAUCAGAUCAAGGGAGUGUGUGGUGGACCCAUCAGUCUGACGCUCGUCAAGGAAACUGUUAUUAAUGUUUGGAAGAGAGUGUUAUCACGGUGGCAGAGUACGACGGCGGUGCGGCGAGGGUUGUUCUAGUGGCAGCUCGGGGCUCAACGACGAGUGUGGGAGGACGGCCGAUCCACACCACGGCAACAUUCCACUCCAUCAAGUCUUGACGACAGUACCCCCAAGUUUGGGGUCUGGUGGCAGUCAAGAUGGCUCCCAGGUUGGCGGUCUGAGCUUGGUCACGGCUACGGGAAGUUUGGGUCACGGAAGUUUGGGACGCGGCGGCUCG